AGCAGCCGCGGUAAUUCCAGCUCCAAUAGCGUAUAUUAAAGUUGUUGCAGUUAAAAAGCUCGUAGUUGAAUUUCGGGAUCAAAUUGUCGGUCGUGCCUCGGUACGUACUGGUAUUAUUGGUUCCUCCCUUCUGACGAACCACGAUGUCAUUAAUUUGGUGUCAUGGGAAAUCAGGACUGUUACUUUGAAAAAUUAGAGUGUUUAAAGCAGGCUCGCGCUUGAAUACAUUAGCAUGGAAUAAUGAAAUAGGACGUUUGAUUCUAUUUUGUUGGUUUCUAGGAUCGACGUAAUGAUUAAUAGGGAUAGUUGGGGCAUUAGUAUUCAAUUGUCAGAGGUGAAAUUCUUGGAUUUAUUGAAGACUAACUACUGCGAAAGCAUUUUGCCAAGGAUGUUUUCAUUAAUCAAGAACGAAAGUUAGGGGAUCGAAGACGAUCAGAUACCGUCGUAGUCUUAACCAUAAACUAUGCCGAACUAGGGAUCGGAUGAUGUUAAUUUUUAAUGACUCAUUCGGCGCCUUACG
rnacentral:rRNA from 1 species